rnacentral:rRNA from 1 species
AGUGAACGCUGGCGGUAGGCCUAACACAUGCAAGUCGAACGGCAGCACAGGAGAGCUUGCUCUCUGGGUGGCGAGUGGCGGACGGGUGAGGAAUACAUCGGAAUCUACCUUUUGGUGGGGGAUAACGUAGGGACACUUACGCUAAUACCGCCUACGACCUACGGGUGAAAGUGGGGGACCGCAAGGCCUCCAGCGGUUAGAUGAGGCGAUGUCCGAUUAGCUAGUUGGCGGGGUAAUGGGCCACCAAGGCGACGAUCGGUAGCUGGUCUGAGAGGAUGGUCAGCCACACUGGAACUGAGACACGGUCCAGACUCCUACGGGAGGCAGCAGUGGGGAAUAUUGGACAAUGGGCGCAAGCCUGAUCCAGCCAUACCGCGUGGGUGAAGAAGGCCUUCGGGUUGUAAAGCCCUUUUGUUGGGAAAGAAAUCCUGUCGAUUAAUACUCGGUGGGGAUGACGGUACCCAAAGAAUAAGCACCGGCUAACUUCGUGCCAGCCGCCGCCGUAACAC